rnacentral:rRNA from 1 species
AUUGAACGCUGGCGGCAGGCCUAACACAUGCAAGUCGAACGAGUGGCGGACGGGUGAGUAAUGUAUGGGAAACUGCCUGAUGGAGGGGGAUAAAUACUGGAAACGGUAGCUAAUACCGCAUACCCUCAGAUGUGCCCAGAUGGGAUUAGCUUGUUGGUGGGGUAACGGCUCACCAAGGCGACGAUCCCUAGCUGGUUUGAGAGGAUGACCAGCCACACGGGGACUGAUACACGGUCCCAACUCCUACGGGAGGCAGCAGUGGGGAAUAUUGUACAAUGGGCGCAAGCCUGAUGCAGCCAUGCCGCGUGUAUGAAGAAGGCCUUCGGGUUGUAAAGUACUUUCAGCGGAGAGGCGUUAUCUGCAGAAGAAGCACCGGCUAACUCCGUGCCAGCAGCCGCGGUAAUAC